rnacentral:rRNA from 1 species
UGAGCGGCGGACGGGUGAGUAACGCGUGGGUAACCUGCCUCAUACAGGGGGAUAACAGUUGGAAACGGCUGCUAAUACCGCAUAAGCGCACAGUACCGCAUGGUACGGUGUGAAAAACUCCGGUGGUAUGAGAUGGACCCGCGUCUGAUUAGGUAGUUGGUGGGGUAACGGCCUACCAAGCCGACGAUCAGUAGCCGACCUGAGAGGGUGACCGGCCACAUUUGGACUGAGACACGGCCCAA